CAGGUGUGCUGUGAAAACAAAACAAAGGCCGCCUAGUACACAGUGACGUGGUACCAUACACGUCUGUAGGUUUCACCGGCUUGCAGGUGCAGCAGCUGAUGGGGGGGGGCAAAAAGCAGGACAGCGGUUUGAACAUGAAACUCAGGGAUCUAACUUUGGGCUGUUUUUGAGUUGAGUUUGGCAGGAGAAGUAGUGCACACAGUGCAGUUGCAGCGUUUCUCCAUGUUUCCAUGACCUGAAUUUUUCAACACUGACUCAUAUUAAAGGGUAACUGCACCCUUAAAUUAAAGAAGAGAGGGUGCAGCGACAGCGGGAGGCCUCGUCGCCAUGUAGCGAGGUGACGUGGAGGGUCAGGGGACUGACCAGAGACACACAGUAAAUCUGCUGGAGCUACAACACAGGUUGCCCCGCUGUUUAUCACAUGCAGAAAUGGUGGCGUGUAGUUCCUCUUUAAAAUCUGAACAGCCUGAGAGCUUGUGGGUUUAUCAUCGCCGCCGCCAGCUUCACGUUCACGAGGACAAGCUGCAGUUUCACAGCUGAACACGUGUGGUUUCCUUCACUCUCUACUGGUUACUGGUGGUGUGACUGGGGAUGUUUUUAAGUAGUAUGGCGUGGCAGG